CACAACAGGUGCGAUGGGGAGCGGUUCCGGGCGGCCCCGCCCNGAMCCGCUCCCCAUCGCACCUGUUG
rnacentral:miRNA from 1 species